rnacentral:rRNA from 1 species
AUAAUAAAUUGUUUGAUAAAUUCAAACUAGAAUGAAAGGAAUAAAGAAGGUUUACUAUUAACAUACGAUUAUCAGAAACUAUAACUAAGGUGAAAAUUCCUUACAGUAACUCUCAAACGAGAAGACCCUAGAAACUAACCAUCACAACUUUUUUUGGGAUAAAACUUUAAAAUAAAAGAGUUAUCACCACCUCAAAUAAAACAGUUACUCUAGGGAUAACAGCACAAUAAAAGCCAAGAGAACUUAUCUACCCUUUAGAUUGUGACCUCGAUGUUGAAUCAAGAAUUACUAGCCGUAGAAGGCUAACAAGUUUCGUCUGUUCGACGACACAUAAAUACGUGAUUUGAGUUUAAACCGUCGUAAGACAGGUUGGAUUCUCUUUAGAGCUACAACACAUAACCACUACU